rnacentral:rRNA from 1 species
UACGGGGGGGGGCAAGCGUUGUUCGGAAUUACUGGGCGUAAAGGGCUCGUAGGUGGCCAACUAAGUCAGACGUGAAAUCCCUCGGCUUAACCGGGGAACUGCGUCUGAUACUGGAUGGCUUGAGUUCGGGAGAGGGAUGCGGAAUUCCGAGUGUAGAGGUGAAAUUCGUAGAUAUUCGCAAGAACACCAGUGGCGAAGGCGGCUCACUGGCCCGAUACUGACGCUGAGACGCGAAAGCGUGGGGAGCAAACAGG